UACAGAGAGAAUCCAGUUCACACGAAUGAGUUUCGUAGCAUAAGCGUAGGAAGAUAGCAAAACUUAUCGAAUGCCGGGUGAAAGGACGUCACUCCAGAUCUAGAGAAACAAGUGUGAAACAAUGCCAGAUCAGCGCUGCCAUUUCAUUACCCAUGCAACCUGUUGAUCCUCGUAAUGAGUCGUACAUGAAUUAAUGAAUAAAUGAAAGGUAAACAACA